GGACUACAGGUGCCCACCGCCAUGCCCGGCUAAUGCUUUUUUUUUUUUUUUUUUUUUUUUUUUUAGUAGAGACGGGGUUUCACUGUGUUAGCCAGAAUGGUCUUGAUCUCCUGACCUCGUGAUCAGCCCGCCUCAGCCUCCUAAAGUGCUGGGAUUACAGGUGUGAGCCACCACGCCCGGCUUGUUUUUUGUUUUUUAACAGACAGGGUCAACCUCCAACUCCUGGACUCAAGCAGUUCUCCCACCUCAGCCUCCCAAGUAGCUGAGACUACAGGUUUGUGCCACCAUGCCUGGCUCUUUUUUUUUUUUUUUUUCCUUUUUGAGAGCUGCACUCCAGCUCUGUCACCCAGGCUGGAGUGCAGUGGCACGAUCUCAGCUCACUGCAACCUCCACCUCCCGGGUUCAAGCAAUUCUCCUAACUCAGCCUCCAGAGUAGCUGGGAUUACAGGCAUACAAUGCCCAGCUAAUUUUUUGUAUUUUUAGUAGAGACAGGGUUUCACCAUGUUGCCCAGGCUGGUCUCAAACUUCUGAGCUCAUGCAAUCCGCCUGCCUCAGCCUCCCAAAGUGCUAAGAUUAUAGGCAUGAAACACUGUGCCCGGCCUCAUUUUGUAUUUUUUGUAGAGAUGUGGGUUUUGCUAUAUUGACCAAGCUGGUCUAGAACUCCUGGGCUCAAGUGCUCCUCCCACUGUGGGCUUCCAAAGUGCUAGGAUUACAGGCAUCAGCCAGCACGCCUAGCCUUUUUUUUUUUUUUUUUUUUUUAAUUUUGUUUUGAGACAGGUUCUUGCUGUAACCUAGGCUGGAGUGCAGUGGUGAUCAUGGCUCACUACAGCCUCGAAUUCCUGGGCUCAAGCAAUCCUCCAGCCUCAGCCUCCUGAGUAGCUAUAACUACAGGUGCAUGCCACCACACCUGGCUAAUUUAUUUUUAAUUUUGGUAGAGACAGGGUCUCACUAUGUUUCCUAGGCUAGUCUGGAACACCUGGCCUCAAGUGAUCCUCCUGCCUCGGCCUCCUAAAGGGCUGGAUUAUAGGCAGGACCACUGCGCCCAGCCCAAGAGGUGAGUUUUCAAGAGCUGAGAAGGCGGAGCCAGGCCCUUUCCUAAGCUGACCUGUACACUCCAGUCACCCCACAGUCCUGCCCAGCCCCUCACAAGCCAGAUCCCUUGUCACCCCACAGCCCUGCUGGCCCCUCUCAAGCUGGACCCCUCAUCUCUCAAGCAGGCUGCACUGCACUCAUUUCCAUGAUGCUCCCAUGCGUACAGUUGCGGGGGUAUCCUGUGAGGGCUAAGGGGGAGUCCUGUGAGCACUAUGGACUCUGAACCACUUACUCUCCAUAUCACUGGCACAUAGUGUGAACUCCUAAAGGGCAAGAGCCUUGUCUACUCACUUACAUGCUGGGCACCAGUAUUGUGGGGCUGGGCUGGUGAUAGCUGCUCAAUGUGAUCUACGGUUUUGUUUUUUGAGACAGAGUUUCACUCUUGUUGCCCAGGCUGGAGUGCCAUGGCGCGAUCUCGGCUCACCACAACCUCCGCCUCCUGGGUUCAAGCGAUUUGCCUGCCUCAGCUUCCUGAGUAGCUGGGAUUACAGGCGUGCGCCACCACGCCCGGCUAAUUUUGUAUUUUUAGUAGAGACAGGGUUUCUCUGUGUUGGUCAGGCUGGUCUCAAACUCCUGAACUCAGGUGAUCUGUCCGCCUCGGCCUCCCAAAGUGCUAGGAUUACAGGCGUGAGCCACCAUGCCCAGCCUUCAAAGUGAUUUACUGAAUGAGUAACUGAAUCACCAGCUCCUUGCCUUUUGCUUAUGUUGGCAUUUUGGGAGAGGGGUUACCUGAAACAGGACCCCCUCCCCUGUCUCUUCUCAGCAUCCAAGACUUAUUUACCUAAGCCCAUUCCUUCCUCUGAGCUGCAUGCAUCCCAACUAGAGUCUUCCUUCCAUAUCGCAGAACCAAGCACAGUCCUGGGGCUUUGCAGUGCUUAGCUGGGCUGAGCUGUGACUGAGUUGCACAGUGGGUGCUCCCUAAGUCUGUAAGUGACUAAAACGACCUCGAUCUUCCCUGUGACUUCCAGGUGAGGGAGGAAAGGCAAGAGUCAUGUGCUCAGGCCCCGGUGGAUCCACUGCCAGGUUUCUGCACAGACUCAGUGAUCUGCAGGUGCCCAGAUCAUUGCUAUGGAGGGUUUCGCUCAUGGACCUGGGUCCCCAACACUCUGCCAGCUGACCAUGCCCCUAGUCCGAGCUGAGCAUCCCCAGCAAAAGCUCAGGAGUCCAAGCACACACAGCCUUCAACAGCUCAGAAAUAACUUUCCGAAUGGGUUUUAGAAAAUAACACGAGAAUGUCUUAAGGAACAGAGGAACCUCCUUUUUUUUUUUUUUUUUUUUUGAGAUGGAGUCUCACUUUGUCGCCCAAGCUGGAGCGCAAUGGUGCAAUCUCUGCUCACUGCAACCUCCCCCUCCCGGGUUCAAGCCAUUCUCCUCCUCAGUCUCCCGAGUAGCUAGGACUACAGGAGUGUGCCACCUCGCCCGGCUAAUUUCUGUAUUUUUAGUGGAGAUGUGGUUUCACCAUGUUGGCCAGGAUGGUCUCAAACUGCUGACCUUGUGAUCUGCCUGCCUCGGCCUCUCAAAGUGCUGGGAUUACAGGCAUGAGUCACCGCGUCCGGCCAGGAACCUCUUAACUUCUUUUGUGAUUUUGUGGGGAACAAUCUGGGCAACAGUAUUGAACUAAGAAAGGUUUUCAACCCUGGGCAGGUCACCACACUUCUUGGUACUCAGCCCCCACCCAGUGAUGCUGUUUGAGGCUGUGCACCUGCUGGGGACCGUGUGUGGUGGGAGGGGCUCCAGAGAGUGCUAGAGUUAAUGCUUUUCUGUUUAGAAGACUAUAUGCUUCUCAUGGCCUCUUGGAGUUCAGCAGGGCCUUAGAAAGCAUCUCCCAACCACAGAGACGCGCUGCCUGGCUUUCCUGAUGAUGAUGAUUUGGCCUGAUCUUGGACACCUGCGGUAAUAGAGAGCUCACUACCCCUCACGAGGUUCCUUGCGCCAGCGCGGGGAAGCCUCCCUCCAUCUGCAGGUGGGCCUCCCCUGUGCUGGUCAGCUCCCUGGUGUGUGUUACACAGGACACAGAGAAGAUCAU
rnacentral:lncRNA from 1 species